rnacentral:rRNA from 1 species
CGUGUAGGCGGUACAGCAAGUUGGAUGUGAAAGCUCCUGGCUUAACUGGGAGAGGUCGUUCAAAACUGCUGAACUAGAGUACGGAGAGGAAAAUGGAAUUCCGGGUGUAGUGGUGAAAUGCGUAGAUAUCCGGAGGAACACCAGAGGCGAAAGCGAUUUUCUGGACCGAAACUGACGCUCAGACGCGAAAGCUAGGGUAGCAAACG